rnacentral:misc_RNA from 1 species
GAUGAAGAACGUAGCGAAAUGCGAUAAGUAAUGUGAAUUGCAGAAUUCAGUGAAUCAUCGAAUCUUUGAACGCACAUUGCGCCCCCUGGUAUUCCGGGGGGCAUGCCUGUCCGAGCGUCAUUACAACCCUCAAGCUCAGCUUGGUGUUGGGCCCCGCCGCCCCGGCGGGCCCUAAAGUCAGUGGCGGUGCCGUCCGGCUCCGAGCGUAGUAAUUCUUCUCGCUCUGGAGGUCCGGUCGUGUGCUCGCCAGCAACCCCCAAUUUUUUUCAGGUUGACCUCGGGUCAGGUAGGGAUACCCGCUGAACUUAAGCAUAUCAAUAAGCGGAGGA